GAGCCCAAGAUUGAAAGCUGGCGUCUUCGGCGUCCGCAUUGUAAUCUCAAGAAGUGUUUUCCGCUUCGGACCAUGCCUAAGUCCCUUGGAAAAGGGCAUCAUAGAGGGUGAUAAUCCCGUACAUGGCAUGGAGCGCCCGAAGCUUUGUGAUACGCUUUCUAAGAGUCGAGUUGUUUGGGAAUGCAGCUCAAAAUGGGUGGUAAAUGCCAUCUAAGGCUAAAUAUUGGGGAGAGACCGAUAGCGAACAAGUACAGUGAUGGAAAGAUGAAAAGAACUUUGAAAAGAGAGUUAAACAGUACGUGAAAUUGCCAAAAGGGAAGGGUAGGAGGUCAGAGAUGCGGCCUGGGAUUCAGCCUUGCUUUUGCUUGGUGUUUUUCCCAGAUUGCAGGCCAACGUCGGUUUUGGGCACUGGAGAAGGGUAGGAGGAACGUGGCACCUCUCGGGGUGUGUUAUAGCCUCCUACUGGAUACAGCGACCGAGACCGAGGACAGCAGCGUACUCGCAAGAGCGGGCCUUCGGGCACCUUUACGCUUAGGGCGUUGGCAUAAUGGCCCUCUACCACCCGUCUU
rnacentral:rRNA from 1 species